UACGAAGGGGGCUAGCGUUGCUCGGAAUCACUGGGCGUAAAGGGUGCGUAGGCGGGUCUUUAAGUCAGGGGUGAAAUCCUGGAGCUCAACUCCAGAACUGCCUUUGAUACUGAGGAUCUUGAGUUCGGGAGAGGUGAGUGGAACUGCGAGUGUAGAGGUGAAAAUUCGUAGAUAUUCGCAAGAACACCAGUGGCGAAGGCGGCUCACUGGACCAUAACUGACGCUGAGGCGCGAAAGCGUGGGGAGCAAACAGGG
rnacentral:rRNA from 1 species